CAUCAACAGUCGAAUACUGACCGUUGUACUUGUGCAUCAUGGACAGAUACCUUUUAUUUUUAGUUAUUGCUGGAUUUGGUAUUUGUGGGGCUAAUCCUUUAGAUAAGGGGGACAACGAUGAAACAGCUAUAUAGUGCAGUGGCAACGAAGUGUUCUCUUCAUGCACCAACGGGGGCUGUGAUGCCCGCAACUGUAGUCAGCUUGGGAAGCCCGUACCCUGUGUUAAGUUGCGAGCAGACAGCUGCAUCAAGGGAUGUCUGUGCAAACCGGGAUAUUUGAGAGCGGCAAGCGGAAAGUGUGUGGAAGAGGCAGAAUGUCAUAAGGAACGCUGUACGGGCCCUCACGAGUACUACUCAUGCGGCGGCGCGUGCGACAACGUCUGUGCAACGUUACACGAACAAAGUCAGAACAACUGCCCUAUAAGGAACAUUAGGUGUAACGAUAUGUGUUACUGCGAGGAAGGGUAUGCAAGAGACGGGAACGGCAUAUGUGUUCCUAUAGAAUCUUGUCAACAAUAGCUACCUACAUUCACAUCUGCUCAAUAUUACACGAACAAAGUCAGAACAUCUGCCCUAUAAGGAACAUUAGCUGUAACGAUGUGUGUUACUGUGUAUGCAAGAGACGGGAAGGCAUAUGUGUUCCUAUAGAAUUAUGUCAACAAUAACUACCUAGAUUCAUGUCUGCUCAACGUUACACGAACGGAGCCAGAAGAAUUGGCCUAUAUAAGGAACAUUCUGGUGUACCUAACGAAGUGUGUUACUGCAAGAAAGGGUAUGCAUAAAGGUAGAUAUGAGAAGAUGGGAAAGGCAUAUGUGUUCCUAAUAUAUUUAAUUUUUUAAGUAAAAUAAAAUAUCAUACCUGU
rnacentral:lncRNA from 1 species